CCCCGCUCACCAGAAGCGCCCCUCCACGCACUCCUGCCUCUGUCUCUACAGGUUCUUGAAUUCGAUACAUUAACUUAUACACACUUCUUAUCACCAAGCCGAAGCCACAGCUGCGCCCGUUGCGGCAGUGCCUCGCAUCGUUCCCCCCUCCUCCCCCUCCUCCCCCUCCCCUUCUUUCCUUCCCUGCAAAGCCGCCACUCUUCUCCGCAUCUCCGUGGCCGCGAGCAGAGGCGCUGGCGACGGCAUCUGCCUUUCCGGCGCCCAUACGUAUACACAUACAUGCAUGUAUGCGUAGUCAAAAGACAGAGAGUUCAGCCGCUCUCGCUUACGUGCGCGUCGCCCUUCGAGGUUGCCCCCCCCCCCCCCCUUCCCCCCUUCCCCCCUUCCCCUCCCUCUUGUGCGAGGCCGCCGCGCCGUCAUUACCGUUGUCGGCCACGUCUGCUCCGCUGAGCAGCCUUUCCCCUCUUUUCUGCUAGUGUGUGUGAGGUGCGCUUCGCCCUCACGCCCAUCCACACAGCGCGCGCAACGGUGGGGAGGACGGCGAGCGAGAGAGAGCGGGCAGCAGCAGACGCUUCUCUGCGGCUGCAUUUCGUCGUCGCAUGGGGUGGGCAACUUAGCAUCCUUGCGCGUCGGCUCAUCAUAUACAUAUAUGUAUAUAUGUAUAUAUAUCGUUGCGCUCCUCUGCACGCUCUCUCGAGGAAUAUUUUUUUCGAGUUUGCUUGCACUUCCGCGUUUUGGCAGAACAGCGCCUAGAUCACGAAAGGCACUGUGCACGUGCGUGGGUGCGGCCCAGCAGAUCCGUGCAUCUAUACGCACACACCGUAGGCACUUGCACUUGAGGUGCGGCGCCGCAUCACACCGCUUGUUGUGCUUCUCUUAGCCCUCCUUUCCCCCUCCCCCGCAUCAUUGUCUGCGCAUCCCGUUGGUCUUCCGCUCCGACUCUCGCUUCGCUUGCUGUUGUUGUUGUGGGGAUUUUGUGUAUUCGUUUUCGCCGCCGCCCCCACUCUUUCGUUCUUCGUCGUCUCCCGCCGCAGUGCUGCUUGCGCUUUUACGUUUGCCGAUCCCGUGCGCUGCGUGCGUGUGCGUGUGCCCGCACCGGUGCAUCUGCCAUCCCGCGCUUGCUUCUACCUCUCUGUUACGCUUGCGUCUUCUGCCUACGCCGCUCAAGAGCUUGCAAUGUCGGAUGGGGAGCACCUCCGGCAGGGCCAUCUUAGCAGCUUAGCUCUGGUGCUGAACCGAUACGGAGCCGACGACGAUGGAGGAGGCGGCGGCCCCACUGCAUACAGGUGUAAGGCAAGCAAGGCCAACGGCGCUCUAGCGAGUAGUGCGACAACCCAGAGCGUCAUGGGUACCGGAAGAACGGACCAGGACGGCUGGAGAGGUGCAUCCUCGCAGCACCCAUCCGGACGCGGCUCGCAGCAUGCAUCUGCCCACACAGUAAACUCGGCACCAACAUUGCCAUUGCCGCCGCAGCCGCCUCACAUGCUCGCGGCGAUGAAGAUAGCGUCCGUCGCCCACACAACACCGGUGCCACCAAUGAAGGCUCACGGAAGCACCUGCUCCAUGUGGGGUGAGCUCCACGUGGCUGCUGCAGCUGCCGCUGUGGAGGGCAGCGUGCGGCCCAACCGACGUGACAGAGCAGGUUUAGAAGAGAACGAUGCCCGACUUCUUCCACUGUUCUUGCCAUCCGCGCCGUCUGCGGCCGCGGCUGCCCCACCAGGCACCUUCAGAGGAAGCAACUGGCACCGUCGGCCGUGCGCGUGCUGGCGGGGGAGAUGCUCGCAGGUGUGGCUGCGGAUGGGCUCCGCUGCCCAGACAGGUCACAGGUGGCUGCGGCGAUGCCUGAGGGGGACGCUCGAGGAUGCAGAGCGAGAGAAAGGUGCCAGUCGACGGCAGAAACGGAAACUCGGGGUGCGAGGGUUUCUCCUGGUCAGCAUUGUCUGCAUCGCGCUCAUGGUCUUCGGCGUCUACAGCUGUGUUGUGCGUCGACUGCGUCGACCCCAUGUGCCGAGCUGGAACGGCACGCUGUCCAUCCUUGUCCAGCACGAGGAUGCGCCGCGGCGCAUGCGCCUCCAGUACUCGCGAAAGGUCAAGUGGAUCCACCUGCCGUCGUGGACGCUGAGGGUGGUGCCGGCACGCUGCGAGGAUUGCCUCGAUCAUGACACGUAUGUGAUCGCGCUGCAGCGGGCUGUCGAUGGACUGGAACGAAUGCAGCGUGAGGACAACGCGAGACAGCGAGCCGAGUUGCAGGCGCCCCAUCAGCAGCAGGAGGGUCACCAGCCAGAUGCCUUUGGAGUCGGUAGCGGCGCCGCCUUUAAUGUUGGUGCACACGGUGAGACAGCGGCGCCGCUCACGACGGCGGCCUUGGAGGAUCUCCUCAAGGCGAAAGGCGGCCCAUACGCGGUGUUCGCCAACAUCGGCGCGCCACUGGGAAAGAUUGGCCCCAUGCUGUUCGCGAUGCGCAGCGUGACCGACGGCGUCGACGUGGAAGCCGAGCUGCCUCGCUGGAAAUGGCUGCGACACGCCAGCAUCUCCUCGGAAGCCCGCGCUGUGAGGCCACCACCCUACAUCGCCGUCAUGGGCAUCCACUCCGCUGACACCGUUUCCCAUGCUCAGCUGCGGGAUGCGCAGCGCAGCACGUGGUUCCGCUACACCGUUGUUGCCCGCAGCGAGAACGACUUUCAAGGACGUCUUCUGCCCCUGUACAUCAUCGCGGCACAGGAGCGCGAGGCGGCGACGGACCCGACAUGGGUAGGCCAGGAUGAAGACACCGGGCCUGCGGCUGCGGCGGAGUUUUAUCGACCGACGCUACAGGAGUUCGCUGACGCGACCAACUUCUACCGCGCACUUGCCGUGUCGCUUUCGAGCGGAGGCGCGGCGCUUGGCGGUUUCUCAUAUCGUCAGCGACGCAUGUCGCUCCGGCCGGAGUGGGGCACAUCGGAUUUGACGAGCUCUCCUUGUGAUCACAUUAUCUCAUCUACGGUGCACGGCAGCGCCGACAGCCCGCGACCACCGCUGGCGGUGCUGGCCGAGCACCUUCGGCUUCCCAUUAUUCCAGCGUUCACCGCGGCAGCGCGCUUCUUGUGCGAGGCGUCGAGCGGUCUUUGGAUGGAGGCUCUUCAGCACAGCGACGUGCUGUGGAUCGAUAUGCUGGCGGACCGCAGAGAGACAGCGAAGACGGAGAGGGGUGACAGCCGCUGGAGGAUGGCGGCGCAGGUGGGCAUGACCCAGAGGACGGUACUGUGGCUGGAGUACGCCUACCACGCCUUCCCUGACGCGCCCUUCAUUGUCAAGAGUUACGAUGACAUAUACAUAAAAGUGCCACAGAUAGUGAGCGACUUCGCCUACGUUUUAAAUGGUCGGCGGCACCGCGACCUCGACGCAAACUUGAUGGACAAUGACGGCAACGCACCGCUUCCCGUCGACGCUGUCAGUGGUGCUGGUGAUACGCUGCGCACCGGCGCCCCACUUGGCUCCGCCUCUCAGCUGCGCCUGCCACACUCACCAGAGAGCGAGUGCGUGCACUGGGGUCUUCGAGAUGAGAAGCGCUUUUUACAGAGGCAACACAUGAUGACUCGCAAACUGGCGCGCGUCGUGUUGGAGAAACCGCAGGAAGCCUACGGAACCAAAGGACUGCGGGACGUGGCGCUGCUGUCCAUGCGCGACUUCAACCCCAUCUUCGCCGACAUCUACACCGAAGUCGCGAUGACCGAGGAGGAUCGCUUUAUCGGAAGCGUUCUGCACGGCCGACGCGCGCGUGCCGCGCAGCUCUGUCCGCAUCGCCGCAUCACGCGCGUAGAGGAAACCAUGUCCCGCUUUCACGAUCUGCGGCGCGACGCCCGUGGUAUCGUGACGUGGGCGUCUGUGGCACUGCACCGCUGCACCCCGGCGGACAUGUACUACUUGCACACGAACUACUUUGUGGAGGAGCACCGGCUGAGCGGCGGCACCACGCCAGCCGAGGCGGCGGCGGCCGAGAAGGCGGCGCAGGAGCGUGGGGCACAGUGGAUACGCGCGAACAUAAACGCCUCGCUGGGGCCCGGCUGGGAUAACCUGAACCCGGUGCUGUGGGUGCCCUACAGCGCACACCCGGAGGAUGCGAAGCCAGGAAUCUUUCUUGUGCAAGACGGUGUGGCCGUGUACAAUAUCACCUUUUAAAAAUGGGAUCGCGACACGCUGAAAGCGGGCGGGCGGGCGGGCGCGUGCGUGCGUGUGUUCAUGAGGGCGCCGUGCGUGAUGGCGGUACGUUACGGGGUCGCGUGCGCAGUUGUCGAGCGAGGUGUGCGGCUCGUGUGUGCGAUGCCCCCUUCCCUUGCGCGCGUUGGAGAGACUUCAGCACCCACGCGUGCCCAGCGCGCACACCUUGCCUGCUCGAUCAGCUAAUCCAGGAAACCUGAGGCGCGCGCUGCAGCGCCACAGGCGCGGUGCUGAACUCCGCAUCAUGGUAAUGGUGAUGGUGGUGGUGGCGGGGGCGUCUGCAGCAGUCGUGGCGUUUCGUGCGUCCUUCCGCCGAGGUGUUCCCCUUGUUUGCUUUCUUCGCGCCUGCGGCUUCCACUGCGGUGGACUGCACUCGUUGCACCCGGCACUCUCCCAGUGCCACGGCUUCUGUGCAUGGCAUGUAAGAAGGAUAAUGAUAUACCUCUCGUUUCACGUUUUUUUUUUGGUGCAUGCCUUCCGCACCAGCGGCGCCUGUGAUGAGGAGGCAGCUGGGCGAUAUCACGGGACUGAAUACUAUAUCGCCUUGGAAUCGACCGGGGUGGGUGGGGUGGUGAGGAGACUCCGGCACUCGCUGAGCGCGGUCUUGCUUAUGCCGGAGGCGCUCGCUUAUCUUCCCGCGCCCCCCCCUGCUUCCUCCUCUCCCCUCCCCUCCGUGCAGGGUGUCGAUGCUCCACAGCCGCGCAAGAACGAAACCAGAAUUGCAACAGACAGAGAGUAGUCUAGGCGCUGAAGUACGGCGUGGAAGAGACGGCGGUGCGCGUGUGCGUGCGUGCGCACCCGUCUGCCGCUUCUUUUUUUCUUUGCGCCCAGGACGCUCCUGGGUAGUAGGUCGAUUGGUGUUCCUCUGCAGGUUGAGUUGCUCACCCCCCGCCCCUUGAUGCACUGACGAGGCGCAGUUGGACUAACAUACCCGAAAACCAAAAAAAAAAGGAAAUUGGACAACGAAAAAGCGUUGCACCCGGCUGUGGACGAGAGCGCUGUCGCGCGUUGCUCAAACAUGGCCUACGACUGCAUGCGCGCGUGCGUGCACGAACGACGGCGCUUGCGCGGUCCUUUUCCAUUCUCCUGCUGCCCGUCCUCCCCCCACUUCCUUCAGCCACGCCGACACGCUUCUCUUCUCUUCUCUCUUCUUCUUCCUCUUGCGGCGCGUCAUGCAAG
rnacentral:misc_RNA from 1 species